rnacentral:misc_RNA from 1 species
GCAUUUUCAGCUAUCUUGAGUUUGUAAGCUACUGUCCCAACUCUAGCUAGAACCUGAUAAGGGCCAUAAAAUCUAGCUGAGAGCAUAAAAUUCUUUCUAAUAGCCAAGGAACUCUGCCUAUAAGGCUGCAACUUAAGAUAAACCCAGUCACCUACUUCAAACACGCUCUCAAUUCUUUUCUUGUUAGCAUACUGCUUCAUCCUAUUCUGUGCCUUCAUCAAACUAUCUUUAAUAAGCUGACACACAUGCUGCCUUUCCUUUACAAAUCUUGCAACAAUUUCCACUGAAGAAUUGUCCUCUAAAAAAGGAAGUAAAAGAGCUGGUAGGUAACUAUAUAGAGCCUCAAAAGGAGUCAUCUGUAAAGAACUGUGAAAAUUGGUGUUAUACCACCAUUCAGCUA